UAAACUUUAAACAUAUCAAUAAGCGGAGGAAAAGAAACUAACAAGGAUUCCCCUAGUAACGGCGAGCGAAGCGGGAAGAGCUCAAAUUUGAAAGCUGGCACCUCCGGUGUCCGCGUUGUAAUCUCGAGACGUGUUUUCCGUGCGGCUCUAUGGACAAGUCCCUUGGAACAGGGCAUCGUAGAGGGUGAAAAUCCCGUACUUGCCAUGGAUGUACCGUGCUUUGUGAUACACGCUCUAAGAGUCGAGUUGUUUGGGAUUGCAGCUCAAAAUGGGUGGUAGACUCCAUCUAAAGCUAAAUAUCGGGGAGAGACCGAUAGCGAACAAGUACCGUGAGGGAAAGAUGAAAAGCACUUUGGAAAGAGAGUUAAAAGUACGUGAAAUUGUCGAAAGGGAAGCGCUUGAAGUCAGCCAUGCUGCGCGGACUCAGCCCGGCUGAUGCCUGGUGUAUUUCCCAGCAGCAAGUCAGCAUGGAUUUGGAUCGCCGGAGAAGGGUGGGAGGAAUGUGGCACCCUCGGGUGUGUUAAGCCUCCUACUGGAUACGGCGAUUUGGAUCCAGGAACGCAGUGUGCCUCUGGCGGGUCUUCGGACACCUUCACACUUAGGAUGCUGGCGUAAUGCGCUUUAAGCGGCCCGUCUUGAA
rnacentral:rRNA from 1 species